CGUUGAACAAACGAACCGUUAGUAGUUGCUGCACCACUUGGGUACCCUGAUCCAACAUCGAGGUCGUAGAUAUUCUUGUUGAUGCGGACUCUUGAAGAAUGUAGCGCUGUUAUCCCUGGAGUAGCUUGGUCCAUUGAUCAGUAUUACUGGGUCAUGUGGAAGUUUAAUUGGACUGGUUGGUCUAAUUAUGUAGUAGAGGUUUUGUUUCUCUAUAGUUGCCCCAACUUAAAGGUAGUGUCAUAUGUUUGUUGACAUUAAGGUUAAAAGUUUCACAGGGUCUUUUUGUCUUGCUUCAUUAUGUCUGCUUUUGUACAGACAGAUCAGUUUCAUUGGUUAUCUUUAAGAGACAGUUUCUUUCUCAUGUGG
rnacentral:rRNA from 1 species